AAGUCGUAACAAGGUUUCCGUAGGUGAACCUGCGGAAGGAUCAUUAACGAAUUGCGUUCGGGGUUGUUGCUGGUUUCUUCUUUUUGAAGCAUGUGCACACCUCGCAAUCCAUUUCAAACCACACAUUGUGCACUUCAGAGGGAGAUCUCUUCUGAUCUCUCCUCUUUUCAUUACAAACCACUAUAAAGUCUUUUGUAUUAUUGAUCGUAUGAUAAAUGGAAAUACAACUUUCAACAACGGAUCUCUUGGCUCUC
rnacentral:misc_RNA from 1 species